rnacentral:rRNA from 1 species
GACGAACGCUGGCGGCGUGCCUAAUACAUGCAAGUAGAACGCUGAAGCUUGGUGCUUGCACCGAGCGGAUGAGUUGCGAACGGGUGAGUAACGCGUAGGUAACCUGCCUGGUAGCGGGGGAUAACUAUUGGAAACGAUAGCUAAUACCGCAUAAGAGUAGAUGUUGCAUGACAUUUGCUUAAAAGGUGCAAUUGCAUCACUACCAGAUGGACCUGCGUUGUAUUAGCUAGUUGGUGAGGUAACGGCUCACCAAGGCAACGAUACAUAGCCGACCUGAGAGGGUGAUCGGCCACACUGGGACUGAGACACGGCCCAGACUCCUACGGGAGGCAGCAGUAGGGAAUCUUCGGCAAUGGACGGAAGUCUGACCGAGCAACGCCGCGUGAGUGAAGAAGGGUUUCGGAUCGUAAAGCUCUGUUGUAAGAGAAGAACGAGUGUGAGAGUGGAAAGUUCACACUGUGACGGUAGCUUACCAGAAAGGGACGGCUAACUACGUG